ensembl:lncRNA LINC01694 long intergenic non-protein coding RNA 1694
UCUCCUCUCUGAGCUUGUGGCAGACACGGCAGAUACCUCAAGCAUGGCUGGGCAGCAGAUGCUGGCUGAGAGGAAGUGGCUGAGCCCAACUUGUCCCUCCUCAGACCCCAGAAUUGCCAAGACCAGAGUCCUCCAUAAAGACCUCACAAACAGGCAAUCACUGCAUGCUUUUCCACAAUUAAAUAUGUGCACAUCUUAAGGAAAGGACCUAACAUCCUUCAGCAGUAUCUCUUUCCAGGGCAGGGAGUGACUGCGUCAGCAGCCUCAAGUACCUGGAAACUGUCCACAUCAGGCAAAGUGGUGGGAGAGACACAGAUGUUUCCACCAGCAUUUAAAAGAAAGGAAAGAAAAUUAUUGACAAGAAGCCUCCAUGGUGGAUCAGGCUUCAACGUUUUGAUGGACCUGGCCUCUCUUGGAAGCAAAUCCCUGGAUGGAGCCCAUGUCUCUUUGGGCCCCCAAAGGCAGCCUGACCUUGACACGGAGUGCAAAGCAGACUCAGCUGCUUGUGUUUAAUGGGGAUUCGCAUAGUUGGUUUUUGGUUUUGUUUUUGUUUUGUUUUGUUUUUUGUUUUUUUUUGAGAUGGAGUCUUGCUGUGUUGCCUAGGCUGGAAUGCAGUAGCGUGAUCUCUGCUCACUGCCUGCAACCUCUGCCUCCCCAGUUCAAGUGAUUCUCUUGCUUCAGCCUCCCGACACUUUAGGAGGCCAAGGCAGGAGGAUUGCUUGAAGCCCAGGAGCUCAAGACCAGCCCCGGCACCAAAGCAAAACUGUACCUCUACAAGAAUUUUUUUUUUAAUUGGCUAGAUGUGGUACACAUGCCUGUGGUCACAGCUACUUGGGAGGCUGAGGAGGGAGGAUCACUUGAGUCCACGAGUUCGAGGCUUGGUGAACUGUGAUCAUGCCACUGCACUCCAGUCUGGGCAACAGAGUGGGACCUCAUCUCUUAAAAAUAAAGAAAAGGAAAGGAGUGGAAAGGAGAGGAGAGGAAGAAACUUGAUAUUUCAAUUAUUUUAAAUUUGUUGAGACUUGUUUUGUGGCCUAACAUAUGGUCUAUCCUGGAGAAUGUUCCAUGUGCUGAGGAAAAGAAUGUAUAUUCUGUACAGCUGUUGGAUGGAAUGGUCUGUAAAUGUCUGUUAGGUCCAUUUGGUCUAAACCAUAGUUUAAAUCCAAUGCUUAUUUGUUAAUUUUCUAUCUGAUGAUAUGUUGAAGGCUGACAGUGUGAUGUUGAAGACCCCAACUGUUACUAUAUUAGAGUCUCUCUCUUUAGAUCUAAUAAUAUUCACUUUAUAUAUCUGGAUGAUUUGGUGUUGGGUGCAUAUAUAUUUACAAUUGUUAUAUCUUCUUGCUGAGUCAGUCCCUUUAUCGUUAUAUAAUGACCUUCAUCUCUUUGUAGUUUUUGACUUAAAGUCUGUUUUAUCUGAUAGAAAUAUAGCUACUAUCGCUCACUUUGGGUUGAUGAAAUAUCUUUUUACAUCCC